GACGAACGCUGGCGGCGUGCUUAACACAUGCAAGUCGAACGGAAAGGCCCUGCUCUUGUGGCGUGCUCGAUUGGCGAACGGGUGAGUAACACGUGUGUAACCUGCCCCUGACUUUGGGAUAACUUCAGGAAACUGGGGCUCAUACCGGAUAGGAGCUCCUGCUGCAUGGUGGUGGUUGGAGAGUUUCGGCGGUUGGGGAUGGACUCGCGGCUUAUCAGCUUGUUGGUGAGGUAGUGGCUUACCAAGGCUUUGACGGGUAGCCGGCCUGAGAGGGUGACCGGCCACAUGGGGACUGAGAGACGGACCAGACGCGUACGGGAGGCAGUAGUCGGGAGUAUUGCGGAGCGGCCGCAAGCGUGAGACAGCAACGUCCGGUGCGUAAUGACGGCUUUCGGGUUGUAAACCACUUUGGCCGGUGACGAAGAGGGAGUGACGGUAAUGGGUAAGGAAGCACCGGCUAACUACGUG
rnacentral:rRNA from 1 species